CUGCAAAGGUGCCAGCAUCUUCACAUGAUGAUGUUGAGAUGACCCUCCUAUAUGAACUGGAAAAUUUUCCAGGUAUCGUGGAUAUGCUCUAUUUCCUCUGUCCUAUGGGCCAAGUCAGUUCUGUCAGCAUGGACUCAAAAAGAGCGUGCUGCAAAUGAAUGGGGCAACACCAAUAUAUCGACAGAGCAAUUUUGGUCCUUCAGGAAUCAGGAUAUCCUGGUGCUAAAAUGCCUUUUGGAGAUAGUUCCUGGAGUAACCUUAGUAGUUCUACAUAGUGAUGAUUACACUUUGCAUUAGGUUGGAUGGUUUGUUUUGCUGGCCAACUUGAGUUUACUGUGGUGCCAAUUGGCAGAGAAAUUAAAACUCAUAGAAAGCCUGAAGUUCGACCUCAACUGCUAACAGUUCCCAAUGCCCAAACAGCGAAGAAGAAGUGGUAUCUAUUAUAGAUCCAAGGCAUUGAUCACAUACUCCUCAUCUCACCUGCUGCAUUCUCAGUACAUAUUUGACUACAGAGGCUCAUAUUUUAUGUAUAGUUAGCUAUUUACGUUGUUGUGAUUGGUGAAACAUACAUCAAGCUUCAUACAUGUAACACCUUAAUAUUUUGGUUGGCUUUCAGAUUUUAUUA